GUUUUCUUAUUAUAAUUAGUAUUAGUGACUUCCAAUCACUUAGUCUUGGUUAAUACCCAGGAGAAAAUA
rnacentral:tRNA from 1 species